AGGUCAACAAUCGAAUUAUUAUAAAAACCUGAAGCUGAUGCGCAUGGUUGAUCUUUCAAGUAAUAAUCUGACAGGAACAAUGUCUCCACAACUGUUCAGCCUCCCUCAGUUGCAUUUCUUGAACCUAUCCCAUAACAGGCUAACAGGAACCAUACCAAAAGAGAUUGGAAACAUGACACAACUGGAGUCUCUUGAUUUAUCCAAAAAUGAACUCACGGGACAGAUUCCUGAGAGUAUAUCCAGUUUGUCUUUCCUCGAUAACUUGAACCUGUCAUUCAAUAACUUGAGCGGCCAAAUCCCAUCAGGGACCCAACUUCAGAGCUUCAGUGAGCUUAGCUAUAUUGGGAAUGCUGAUCUUUGUGGACCUCCCCUUCCCAAAAACUGCUCAAAUCAUGGCAAUGACACAAAAGCUUUGGGUGAGAAUGAUGAUGAUGGUGAUGAAUCAGAUUUUCUGAGCAGCCUCUAUGUGGGCUUAGGAGUUGGCUUUGCUGUAGGCUUUUGGGGAGUUUGUGGUGCCAUUUUCUUCAGUUGCAAGUGCAGACAUGCUGCUUACUUCAGAUUUCUGUAUGACUUGAGAGACCGAUUUUAUGUCCUGCUGCUCACAAAUCUCAACUCCUUUCACUGAUAUCCAAUUCUCUGCAGGUAACCUCUUAAUUACGGCAUAACUAAAUAUAUACUCUCUAUUUUAUUAUUUUUGUUACCAUCUAACAUACAUAUUUAAAAGGUCAAAUGUUUUGAGUUUUAUUUUCUGUUAUAUAUGGACGUGCACUCUUAGGAACCAAUAUAUUUAUUUCUUGGAUAAAGUUGCACAAAUGAGUUGAAUGGGUAGAGAUUAGAAACAAAGAAGUUUAAUUUCUUAUCUUUGCAGGUUCUUUUGAGAAAACAUAAUACAUCAAGAUCUCAUCAGCUGCACUUACCAAAAAGAUCCAGGAGACUUGUGCUAUUUUAGCAUGUAUCAAGUGUAUUGUCAGUAUCACUAGUUUAUUAAUGUAUCCCAAUGUCACUUUUAUAUCAUAAGGAGAAAGUAGCGUAGAUAUAGUUUCUUAGUUUGGAUGUGAUGCAUUAAUAACUAGGAUUUAUUUCUAGUGUGCUUGUUCUACAUAGAGUCAUAGACAUGCCAAGUGAAGAUGUUUUCUUACAAAUAGUUUGUGCUUUGCCAUAAGCUACUACUGUGUGUACUAGAUAAUAACUAAUAAGGAAAUAAAGGGUUAAUAUUGUUUGAAUGUAUGUAUAAUAAAUUAUUAAUUCAGUAAAAGUGCUGCAAACUACUCCUUAAUAAAUUUUCAUGGUUCAAUAUUCAUCUUUUCGUUUUUUCUUUUGGUUUUACACAACACAUACUCACACACAUUACUAUAAGUUUUAUAUUCCACUUCUUGAAUUUAAGUGUUUAACCGGCUAAUUUUUUUUUAUAUUGUUUAAAUAUAUGUGUAAUACAUUGCUAUUGGAAGAUUAGGUGUUUUUUUUAUAUGGUGUUUUACUCAAAUCGGACGGUCCGAUUUGUUUGAAGAAAAAAGUAAACUACAAAUCGGAGAGUCCGAUUUGUUUGAAAAAAAAAAGCACUACAAAUUGCAUGGUCCGUUUUGUAUUUUUUAUUUUUUUAUUUUUUAAAAUAAAAAUCGGACGGUCCGAUUUUAACAUUAAAAAUUUUUUUAUUUUCGAAAUCACAAAUAGGACGGUCCGAUUUGUGAUUGUUUGGGAAAAAAAUAAAACAAAUCUGAGGUACCGAUUUGUAGCUCCUAUAGCAAAGUUAAACACUUCUCUUCUCACAUCAUUGGGAAAUACACUCUUCUCUCUCACACGAAAAACAAAAAGUGGUGUUUAACCUAGGAUUCGAACUGUGCAGCUUUUUUAGCCGCCAACAAAUUCUCAACUAUGCCAUUACCUCAGCUUUUUUAACCACAUCAACUGUCACAACACAUUCUGGCGAUUUAAAAUUAUAUGUAAAUCUAGAUCUAGAACAUGUUUGAUAAGCUAUAAGUUACGAUGCAAUUAGUCAUUGAUUACUCAUGCAGAGAAGCUCUUUAACUUGCUAAAUAAAACACCGGUAGCUUAAUAGUAUUUUUCAGACAGUUUUUUAAAAGUUCAAUAACGAUUCAACUAUCUCAUCUAAUUCCACUGUGAACUCUUCAACUCUCAAUUACAUGGAUCUAUCAGUCAACUUAAACCUUUUUAUUCACAGCCUUGAGUGGCUCUCUCGCAUUUCCUCCUUGGAAUAUAUAAACCUUGGUUACACUAAUCUUUACAUGGAAACUAACUGGCUUCAUUGGAUGACGGCGCUCCCAUCAUUGGUGGAGCUGUACUUAUACAGCUGUAAACUUGAAGACAUAAGUCCAUCUCUUGUAUAUGCUAAUUUUAGCACAUCACUCCAGCUUAUUUCUCUUCCAAGUAAUUCUUUUCACUCAGAGUUGCAAUACUGAAAAAUUUGAAAUUCUUGUCUUUGGGAUCACCAAUCAUCACCUUUGAUUUUGAUCUCCAAUGGAUACCACCUUUCCAACUUGAGAAGCUGUCCCUUGGACGACUGCACCCUACACUUCCUCAAUGGAUAUAUACACAGACAUCUCUCUAUUUUCUCAUCAUUGAAAACUCAGAGUUCUUGCUUGAAGCUGCUGACAAUAACAACAACUUUUGGAGAUUUACAUCCACAAUUCAGCAUCUAGAUUUGUACAACAACACAAUAGAAGGGGACUUGUCAGAAGUGUUGCUGAACUCCAGCAUCAUAGAGCUGGCAUCAAAUAAAAUAGAGGAGUGCUAGGGGCCAGCAGAAUUUGUGAUGUUUAGCCAUCAAUUAGCCAUCAUCAAUAUUUUUAAUGGUAUGAGAUGAUAACCAAUGAUGUAGGAUUAAUCAUUUUUCUUUUGAUGGUUAAGUGCUGGCCAGAUUUUAACAAAAGUGCUGGUCCCUAGACUUUCUCAAUAAAAUAAAAUUUGAUCAUCUAAUAUUUAGUAAAAAUUUAUAAAAGUAAAAAAAAAUUAUAUGCUUCGACAUUUAAAACAAAAAUUUAAAAUAAUUAUUAUUUUAAGAAAUUUAUAAAAUUAUUAUUAAAAUCAAAGUUUAACUUAAAAAAAUGAGUAAUAAUUAUUUUAUAUUUUUUAAAGUAAAAUAAUUAUACACUGAUACAUAAUUUAAAAUAAAAUUAAAAUAUUUACAUUAGAAUACUAUUUUUUCAAAUACUUUUCUAUAAACAACAUUGAUGAUUGAAUUUGCAGAUAUUUCUACGUGAUUCAUAAGUAAAACUUUUAAACCUCUCUUACUCUUAACUCUUGAAAGUGGUACAUAUAGUUGGCCAUGUGUAAAAACUGGUUUGGACAAGUACAAUCCAACAUGAGAUAAAGUUUGUCCCUGAGACUUAUCAAUUGUCAUGGCAAAUGAUACUAUUAUGGAAACUGUCUUCGUUGGAAUCUAACUGGGACGGUUUCAUUUAUUGGUACCAUAUUCAUUCUUGGAAAAUCAAAGCAAUAUGACCAACAUUGUUACCCGUUAAGACUUCACAUUCUAUGACAUGAUUUUCAAGCUUCCUAAUUUGUAGCCUUGUACCAUUACAAAGACCACUGGAUUGGUCAAUAUUCCUCAGUAACAUCACUGGAACACCAACCUUGAGUAUUAAUUUAUGUGAAGGCAAACCAAAGCAAUUUAUGCUAUUCAGUAAUUAAGGACCAUAGAGAUCUAGUUGACUCUCCAUAUCCCUUCAUCCAUACAAAUGGAAUCCGAACUAAGAUAUAAUUUUUUUCCUCCAGGAAUGAUAGCCAUAAGAUGGUUGUUAACCUCUUCAACGAUGUCUAGUGUGGAAGCCAGUAUAGUUCUUGCUUUUAAAAGAAUGUAAUUUACAUUCUUUUGUAAAUUACAUCCACAACGUUACCCUUAAUUUCUGUCCACCCCUAUAAGAAAUAGCAAUGCUUGUAGAGUAAAGAGAGGCACAAAAUUUCAAAAUAAGAUUUUAAAACAAAAGCCACUAUCAAAAAGAUAUUAAGUAUUAUUCAAGAUCAUCAAGUUCUAUGGUGAUAUAACUUGAUGGCUUUCCAUCCCAUGUGAACUCGACCAAAUUAACCCUAGAGGCAAGCUGACCUAUCACAUCUACAAAAUAAAGGCACCAAUCUUUCCAUUAACAAAACACUAUUUGCUCAAAUUUUUCUCCAAAAAAUGACAUUUUUUUUCAAAGUUUCAUCCAUGUUGAAAUUAGAUUUUUUUAACUUUUUUAAAAAUAAAAAUAUAAAAGACUGUGUUAAUAAAUAGUUAGAACCUAAAAAUUGAAGUUCCUGAAAAAAAAUAUAGGUUAGUACNNNNNNNNNNNNNNNNNNNNNNNNNNNNNNNNNNNNNNNNNNNNNNNNNCAGGAAGGAAAUAAUAAAAAAUUAUUCCUUAAUAUAAUUUUUUAAUGAAACAAAUUUUAAAAAUAAGACAUGCUCCGUCACAAUAUAUUAUAUUAUAUUAUGUAAAAAUUUUCAAUCAAUUCAAAAGAUACAAAAUUAACAUUCACGACAAAAAUCCAAAAUAAAGUCAAACUCCUUUUCAUGGGUAAUAACUAAUUUUUACGGUUAGACUCUAUAAACUCUUGGGGUGUAUAUUUAGUUAUUAAAAGAUAAAAAGAGAAUCAAAUUUCACUUAAAUAAAUUUCACAAAAAUUAUACGAAUCUAUAAUACUUGAAACUUGAGAGGAAUAGCAACAACCAUUACUUAAAUCCAUAUCUGUCCACUAUAUACUCAUAAUAAAAAAGACAGCAAAUGGUGCAAAAUAAUAUAUAGGAUUAAAAAAUUAGACCUCAAAGAAUUAAACAACACAUGCAUUAUAGAUUAAUCUAACAAUGUAUUUAUCAACUAAAUAACCAUCUUCUUUAGACUCUGCAUGAAUUUUUUUGAACGGAACAAAAUUGAAUACAUUCGAUGGAAUUGAAGAAUCUUGUAUCGGACGCACAAUCGUGUCCCUCUUGAAGUGGAUUCUAAAUUUGUGUCUAGUAGACUUAAACUUAAUGGUAUUCAAAGCAACUUCAAAAUUAGUGACCAUGUACAUGUUGCCCUCAGCGAGUAGGCCCUCGAAGAUAGGAACAAAUAUGUCUUUAGCAGUACAUUGAAUUGUAUCCCCCUGAAUGCAUUAAUUUUAUAGAGUCAUAGAUAAAUAAGGUUUAUUGUUCAGUCAUUACCAAAAUAAAUCUCAAAUGCAAAGAGAAUAUUUUACCUCUUCAUCAAGGACAACCAUCUCAAUAGGUAUCUUCAUCCCAGAUUUUACAAAGAAACGGUCCAAAGUCUAAUGACACGUACUUUUAGCUUCCACACCUUAUGUGCGACCAGAAUUGAUACACUUGAUGAGAUCAUACCUAAUAAUAAAGGACCUCAUAUUUAGUGAAAGAUAAAAAAAAUAUUGUGAAACAAUUCACAUGGCACAUGAAAACUCACCUAGCUGCCAUUGCUACCUGCCACUACAAAAUUACUCAAAUAUUAUGAAUUUCAGUAUAGAUAAAGAGUAAGUGUGGUGAUCACCUAUGCUAUACUUAUAGAGAGUCACAGCAUUGCUCAGCCCCAGUAUUGGUAAAGAUUGCAAGAAUCUUUACAUUUCUAUCAAAAUCCAACUAAAAAAAAAAGAAAAAUUUUUUAUAUAUAGCACCAGUUUUUUGUUUCUUAAUCUGAUAUAAUUCCCAAAAGAUUUGUUAACAGUACCUUUAAUAUGACCAAAGAUUGUGUUGAUCUCAGCAAGCCAUUUGUCUCUUUCACCCUGCAUCCGUUCUAUAAGCAUUUUUCUUUUAUGAUCCUCAGUUAAUUGCUUCAUGUGCUUGACCUUCAGCCUAUAAUAGUAGAUAAUUCUAUCUCAACACGAUCUCUCUCAAUCUGACGCUGCGGUGGUUGCGAACUUGCGAUUUGGGGAGCUAGGGUUCUUCUUUCAAUAUCAAAAUUUCACGUCAAUUUCAGAGAGGAGAAGCGAGGAGUGUGGAAGUGGGACUGGGUUACAGGUUACAGGCUUAAGCCGUUGGAGAUUCAGUUUUUUUUUUAAGUCAAAACGGCACCGUUUGGAGGAGUUAUUAACAAACCAAAAAUUUAAAAAAAAAACNNNNNNNNNNNNNNNNNNNNNNNNNNNNNNNNNNNNUAUAAUAUCUAUAAAAUAAUUUCAACUUCAUUUUAUAAACUAAUUUUAAUUUUAAAUUUAUUUAUUUAUUUUUUGAAAAUAUCUACAUGUAAAUGGUCUCUCUGUAGACAUGAUACAUAACAGAGCACAAUAGCAUCGUUUGAUUCAUGUAGCCGACCCCACUUAAUAGGACAAGACUUUGUUGUUGUUGUUGUUGUAAUUCAUUUUUUGAAAAUAUUAAAUGAUAUUCUAUAAACAUCGAAUUGGAGAUGCUCUUACUGGUAUGUGAUCUGUGAUCCAUUAAUUAUAUAUAUAGGUCACAAGGAUAUAAUUCUAGUGUGAUGGUUCUACAUAGAUAUUCCAAGUGACGAUGUUUUCUUACUAAUAGUUUACGCCUUUCUAUAGGGCAUAGGCUACUGCUUUGUGUGCGUACAAGAUAAUAAGAAAAUAAAGAGUUAACAAUGUUUGAAUAUGUAUAGUAAUUUAUCAACUCGGUAAAAGUGUUGCAAUUUGCAGAACACUCCUUAAAAAAUUCUCAUGGUUCAAUAUUAUAUUCAUCUUACAUCUAUCUUUAGUUAUCUCAAUAAAUUCCUGUGCUAUUUUUUUUUCUUUUUUCUUUUUGGAUAAAGUAUGUUUUUUAUUGUUAACGUUUGUAAUUUUUAAAAAAAAUAUUUUUAACAUUUAGUUUCAAUUAAUUUUGUUUCUAACUUUAUUAGUAUCAAAAUUAUCCUUAAACACUAAUUUCAUAUAAAAUAUUAGAGACAAAAUUAAAUAAAUUAAAAACGUUAAAAACAAAAUUGAAUAAAAUUAACCAUUAAAAAUAUUUUUAAAAAAAUGUUAAAGGAGAAAAACUAUAAUUUUUAAGACAAAUCACAUGGUAGGAGAAAUUAGAGAGAGAUCAUAGGAUGAGAAGAUAUCACAUCUAACUCUUAAAAUCUUAAAGUAAGAUAUUACUGAGUCUCUCAUCUUAUAAACUCCUCACUCUUUCUUGUUUUCUUUGAUAUAGGACUAACUUCAACACUCUUCACACUUGCAACAUUAACAUAAAUUAAUAGUAAUAUUGUUAUCAUAAUCUGAGGAAAUCUUUUGGGUUUAGGACCCAUGGUUGCUUGCUUUCUUUCAAUUCCAAAUAAUUAGUAUAGUAUUGUAUUGCAUUUUGGCAGGUAUGCAUAUAUUAAUGGAAGAACCGCAUGGUUUAACUGUCUCUAACGUGCUUAAAUGCAGGAUUUUGUUAGCUAGCAUUUUUAGUUUAUAAUGUGUCGCACAUUGGAAGGAGUUGCUAACUUAGAAAUUUGAUGACGGCUCCACUGGUGAGUCAACUAAAAAUUUUGAUUGUACACGUUUGAAGAAGGGAAUUAAAAAUGGAAGAAUUGAAGCAACAAAGUUUGAAGCAAUCACGGCUUUGUAGUCAUUUUCCUCAUGUUCCGUGAAAGGCAUGCAUGAGACACAAAAUUACAAGACUAAAUAUCACUUCAUUACUAAUGCCCAAAAAUAUUUCACCAUAAAAUGUUCAGGGCCCUGUUAUACUUGCCUUGAUGAAAUAUUAAUUCUCCUAAAAAACGACAAUAACUGUUUUUUUCCUAGUUGAGUAUACUCAAUUAACACAAAUGCACAUUGGAGUUACUUAUUGACUUUAAACACCACAAAUACACAUUUGACUUUCCGGAGUGUCAAAAUAAAAGCAUUUAAUAUAUACUUCUGAGAAUUAUUAAAUUGAAUUACUAUAUGAUGAUUUAAUUAAUUUUAUCAUACUUUAUAACUAUAAGGAUUCCCUGCAUUGACCAAUGAGUAAUAGCUUAAAUGACAUAAUCUCUCCAUACUCAAUUAAGAGGUUGCGAGUUCGAGUCUCAUAUCUUUGGUAAAAAAAAAGGAUUCNNNNNNNNNNNNNNNNNNNNNNNNNNNNNNNNNNNNNNNNNNNNNNNNNNNNNNNNNNNNNNNNNNNNNNNNNNNNNNNNNNNNNNNNNNNNNNNNNNNNNNNNCUUGAUAAGUUAUUAGUUAUAAUGCAAUUAGUCAUUGAUUACUCAUGCAGAGAUGCUGACUUGCUCACGGCGAUGCUCAUGGUCCAUGCAAGGAGACUAAAUGGAGGUGGAUGCUGCACCAUAUUUGGGUGCGGGUUCGGGUUCGGGUUCUUCUCAUCUGUGUUUUUAACCUUUUUUUAUUAUUUUUUUAAAUAAAAGAAGAAAAAAAGAAAAAGCAUAUGAUCCAUGCUCACUACAGAAGAAAUUUUCCGCAGCUGGUGUGGGAAAACACAUGUCACUCAACUCUCCCCCAAAAUUUCACAUCCAUAACGAGUUUCUCAUCACAAGACUAACACACGAUUCAUCUGGUCUCUGUAUUAAUGACUUGUAUCGUAAUCGUAAUCUUCCUAUAUAUACACAUAGCUUAGCAAGAAAGCCUAAAAAUCAGGUUUGGUUGCUUAAAUUAACCAAUGGAUAGCAAUAAUAUAGUUUGGAAGAGGAAGUAUGUGUUUGCAAUGAUGUUGAGCACAUUAUGCAUGACAUGCAGUUGUUGCAACGAGAGAGAUAAAGAAAUCCUGUUGAAGUUCAAAGGAGAAGUCACUGACUCAUCGGGACUCCUAUCUUCAUGGCAGCAGGAGCAAGAUUGCUGCCAGUGGAAGGGAGUCACCUGUCACAACAUCACUGCCAGAGUCAUACACCUCACUCUCGAGUGUGAUUAUUAUGAUCUUGCAGAAUCUGUAGUAGAUGAUGAUUAUUAUUUGCAGAAAUGCCUUACAGGUGACAUCAAUCUCUCUCUAUUGGAUAUGGAAUACUUACAAUAUUUGGAUUUGAGUUUCAAUGACUUUACAACUAUCUCAUCUGAUUCCACUGUCAACUCUUCAACUCUCAAUUACAUUGAUCUAUCAUACAACAAAUACCUUUCUAUCAAGAGUAUUGAGUGGCUCUCUCGCAUUUCCUCCUUAGAAUACAUAAACCUUGGUUACACUAAUCUUCACAGGGAAACUAACUGGCUUCACUGGAUGACGGCGCUCCCAUCAUUGGUGGAGCUCUACUUAGAGAGCUGUAAACUUGAAGACAUAAGUCCAUCACUUGAAUAUGCUAAUUUUAGCACAUCACUCCAGCUUAUUUCUCUUGCAGACAAUUCUUUUCACUCAGAGUUGCCUAAAUGGAUAUUCAAUCUCAGUUCUCAUGUCCUUCAGAUUGACCUUUCAAGAAAUUAUUUUAUAGGCCAGCUACCAAAUACGUUGCCCAAUCUUCAAUUCUUGGAUAUGCUCGCCUUGAAUGAUAACUAUUUAAGUGGCUCAAUUCCAGAUUGGAUAGGCCAACUUCAGUAUCUUGCCGGUCUUGCCAUUCAUGACAACUAUUUUUCUGGAUCUCUUCCUACAAAUUUGGGAAAUUUGUCAUCCCUAUACAUCUUCAUGGCCAAUCAAAACCUCUUCUCAGGGGUCGUGUCUGAAAGAAAUUUUGCAAAACUGAAAAAUUUGAAAUACUUGUUUUUGAAAUCACCAUACAUCACCUUUGAUUUUGAUCCCCUCUGGAUACCACCAUUCCAACUUGAGAAGCUGUACAUUGGACGACUGCACCCUACACUUCCUCAAUGGGUAUAUACACAGACAUCUCUCUAUUCUCUCAGCAUUGAAGACUCAGAGUUCUUGCUUGAAGCUGCUGACAAUAACAACAACUUUUGGAGAUUUACAUCCACAAUUCAGCAUCUGGAAUUGUACAACAACACAAUAGAAGGGGACUUGUCAGAAGGGUUGCUGAACUCCAGCAUCAUAGAGCUGACAUCAAAUAAUUUCAAAGGUGGUCUACCUCGACUUUCAUCCAAUGUUGUUUUCUUCCAGCUAAGCAACAGUUCUCUAUCAGGGUCCAUCUCUCAUCUCUUGUGCCACAGCAAGAAAAGCAACAAUAAAUUGCAGUACUUGGACCUUUCUGAUAAUAAUUUAUCUGGAGGACUAACAGACUGCUGGAUGAAUUGGAAGUCGCUGCGUCAUGUUAAUCUGGGAGGCAACAAUCUUAGUGGCAACAUACCCCCAUCAAUGGCCUUCUUGUCGAAUCUCACAUCACUGCAUCUGCAUGAAAAUAAUUUGUCUGGGGACAUAUCUUCUUCAUCACUUCAGUAUUGCCGCUCCCUGUCCAUCCUUAAUGUCCGCGAGAAUAGCUUCUCUGGAAACAUACCAAAGUGGAUGCCGCAGAGUAUAAGGAUUCUCCAGUUAAGGUCCAACAAAUUCAUUGGUAACAUUCCCUCACAGAUAUGUCAAAUGCCUUUCCUCAUUGUUUUGGAUAUUGCAUAUAACAGAAUCUCAGGUCAUAUACCCAAAUGCCUAAACAAUAUCACAUCCUUUGUUGACAUGCACUAUUCAACCAGUUGGAUUUUCUACGAAUUCUUUGAUGGAGGGGCUUUCUUUAUAUACAGAGACAACCUUAUAUUGCUUGUAAAAGGUCAACAAUCGGAUUAUUAUAAAAACCUGAAGCUGAUGCGCAUGGUUGAUCUUUCAAGUAAUAAUCUGACAGGAACAAUGUCUCCACAACUGUUCAGCCUCUCUCAGUUGCAUUUCUUGAACCUAUCCCAUAACAGGCUAACAGGAACCAUACCAAAAGAGAUUGGGAGCAUGACACAACUGGAGUCUCUUGAUUUAUCCAAAAAUGAACUCACAGGACAGAUUCCUGAGAGUAUAUCCAGUUUGUCUUUCCUCGAUAACUUGAAC
rnacentral:lncRNA from 1 species